rnacentral:rRNA from 1 species
GGCCUAACACAUGCAAGUCGAGCGGAAACGAUGGGAGCUUGCUCCCAGGCGUCGAGCGGCGGACGGGUGAGUAACACGUGGGAAUCUGCCCAUUAGUGGGGGAUAACUCGGGGAAACUCGAGCUAAUACCGCAUAAUCCCUACGGGGGAAAGCAGGGGAUCUUCGGACCUUGCGCUGAUGGAUGAGCCCGCGUCGGAUUAGCUUGUUGGUGGGGUAAUGGCCCACCAAGGCGACGAUCCGUAACUGGUCUGAGAGGAUGGCCAGUCACACCGGGACUGAGACACGGCCCGGACUCCUACGGGAGGCAGCAGUGGGGAAUCUUGGACAAUGGGCGCAAGCCUGAUCCAGCCAUGCCGCGUGUGUGAAGAAGGCCUUCGGGUUGUAAAGCACUUUCAGUAGGGAGGAAGGCUUUGGGCUAAUACCCUGGAGUACUUGACGUUACCUACAGAAGAAGCACCGGCUAAAUUUCGUGCCAGCAGCCGCGGUAAUACGAAAUGUGCGAGCGUUAAUCGGAUUACUGGGCGUAAGCGCGCGUAGCGGUGUGUAGUCGAUGUGAAAGCCCAGGCUCCACCUGAAUGCAUCG